rfam:Schistosoma haematobium scaffold562_10, whole genome shotgun sequence.
AUCCAGUUGACGAGUCUUGAAUAGGACGAAACGCGCGUCCUGGAC